GAAAUGAAAUUAGUAGUAUAAAUUAAAAAAUAAAAAAUAAAAAGGACCAGAAUAAAAUAACUGAAAAAUGUGAAAGGGCCGGCUGUGCAAAUAACUCUUCGAAGCAAAACACGCGGAUCCUUCCCCUAGAUCAGGUCAACAAGCUGGUUAAAGCAUAAAACAACACCAUUUUGGCGUCUGCACAUUGGCCCAAAACGACGUCGUUUUGUAAGGCCUAUUUAAGUUUAAAAAAAAUUUCAAAAUCUCAUUUUAUUCCUCUUUCAAAAAAAAAACAAAAAAAAACUCUCUCAAAUCUAUUAGAACAGAUCCCAGAAUCCGGCCGUUGGGAUCGCCGGACCACCGUGGCGGCUGUUGCUGCCGUUCACAGUGGCCGAAAAAUUGAAAACAAAACCCAUUUCUUAGGCUAUUCGACUCCCCAAGCCGAAAUAGCACCGAUUGUCAUCAGAAUCGGCGGACCUCCUUCUCCGGCGAAGCAAAAACACGAAUAAAGGGUGUGGAGGCCAUUGGCCAGCUGGCGUACGGAGGCGCACGUGAAGGAGGUGCGGCACGCGUGGGAUUGGCAGUGGCAGCACACCUUGCUGAGUUAGGGUUUGCUGAUUUUUUGGUUAUUGGGCUAGGGUUUAAUUUUGACCUGGGAUUGGGUUUGAUGUAAUGGGAUUGACUUUUGGGUUGUGUAAAUGGACUUUUAAUUAUUGGACUUUUAUUUUUAUUUUUA